UACGAAGGGGGCUAGCGUUGCUCGGAAUUACUGGGCGUAAAGGGCGCGUAGGCGGGUCGUUUAGUUAGAGGUGAAAGCCCAGGGCUCAACCCUGGAAUUGCCUUUAAUACUGGCGGCCUUGAGUAUGGCAGAGGUGUGUGGAACUCCGAGUGUAGAGGUGAAAUUCGUAGAUAUUCGGAAGAACACCAGUGGCGAAGGCGACACACUGGCCAUUACGUGACGCUGAGGCGCGAAAGCGUGGGGAGCAACAGGGAUUAAGAA
rnacentral:rRNA from 1 species